rnacentral:lncRNA from 1 species
CUUUUCUCUGCUCCAGGUAGAGAAUAACAGGAAGAUUACCUCCUUGAGCUCACACACCACAAUUAAGUAUCUCUCUAACUUUGUUGUACAGAAUUGCACUUCCUAAAUUCACAGGACAACUUAACUGCAAAAAUAAAGAGUGCUUUUUUAUUUUUUGGGAAAUGUAUCCAGUCUCCUUAUUUGAAGCCCACUGAUAGUUAAAAAGUAUGGUGAGAGAAUAAACAUACUUCCCUGUGAUGGUCAGCUCUGUGUGUCCAUUUGGCAAAGAGUGAUGAAAACAUCUUAAAAUGAAACUGUAGUAGUGGUGGCAUAACGUAAAUAAUAUAUGAACCAUUGAAUUGAACACUUAAAGUAGUGAAUAAGUCUCACGAGAGCUAAUGGUUUCAUAAAGGGGAGUUCCCCUGCACUAGCUCUCUUGUCUGCCACCAUGCAAGAUGAACCUUUGCUCCUCAUUCGCCUUCUGACAUGAUUGUGAGGCCUCCCCAGCCAUGUGGAACUGUGAGUCAAUUAAACCUCUUUCUGUUAUAAGUUACCCAGUCUCAGCCUUAAACCUGAGAAACCUGUUGGUAAAUAUUAAGUGGUUGAUAUGGUUUGGCUGUUUCCUAACCCAAAUUUCAUCUUGAAUUGUAGUUCCCAUAAUCCUCACGUGUUAUGGGAGGAAUGCUGUGGGAGUUUAAAUCAACUGUACAUAAAAAGUUAUGAGUCUUAGAUGACAUGUGGAAAACCUUUGGUUCUGAAGGUCAUAAGCAAGUUACAACUGCACACCUGGUGUACAAACGGGGUUUCACCAUGUUGGUCAGGCUGUUCUUGAACAGCCUUGUGGGUUUUACUAUUUGGACUUGCAAAGGUUAGUACCCCAGGGAUAAUGAUUUCCUUUUGAGUGUUCCAUCUUUUUGAGAAUAGCCUUCCACUUAUAAGUGGAAGCAUCAUUUCCACUUAUAAGUGAGAACAUACAAUGUUUGGUUUUCUAUUCCUGAGUUACUUCACUUAAAAUAAUGGCCUCCAAUUCCACCCAAUUUGCUGCAAAAGAUAUUAUCUCAUGACUUUUUAUGGCUGAGUAGUAUUCCAUGGUUUAUAGCAUUUUCUUUAUUCACCGGUUGGUUGAUGGGCACUUAGGUUGGUGCGAAUUGUAUUGUUAUAAACAUGCAUGCACGGAUCAGUAGAGAGAAAUAAAGUAAUUAUUUUUUCCAAUUAGCAAAUCUAAAUGUAACAUAGGCCUCUCAGUCACUUAAUUCUCAAAUAUCUUUUCUCUAAUUAUAACAAGAAGACUACCAUGUGGAAUUAUAAAGCCCAUAAUCAUUUUUAGCCCACUUUCAUCCUCCAUCACUGUGCCUCCAGUUAUAGCUAGGUAUCCAUGCUCUCAUGGGGGACUUUGUCUAGGAAGGCCUUUACCUCGCCUGUGUUGGGAGGGUCGUGCAUGGAAGCACCAGAUCUGGUAAUAUGAUAAUCAAGGAAAAUAACCAACCAAAAAGAGUUGAUUAGUUCCAAAUGAUAAUUUAAUGUAAUAUCAUUCCUGUAUAAAAUAUUUAUUUUAUAUAAUGCUCUGACUGAAAUGUUCAACAGUUAUUCAAAGUCUACUUCCAGGAGCAUAAAAAGACAAAUUGCAUUCGUUUUAAAAUGCACUAAUUAAAAUAUUUUGUUUUCCCUUAAAAUGUUUUCUUAAUCUCCAAAUACAGUGAGUGACAGAAUUCUGACUCAUGAUUUUUGUUAAGGUUUAGAUCCUCUGAGCCUUGCUGAUUUUUAAAAAUUUGGUUAUUGAAAAGCCUAGCAUCUACCACAUUUGUGCUUUUGUUUUCAACUGACAUUUUGUUUACGAUUCCAAACUUAAGGUCUCUAGGUCUCUAUCCAGAUAUGAAUUCCUUUAGGAUACUUAUUUUUUUAUGAAUUUUUCCUGGAGGUGGCCUUGAUUAUUAAUUAUUUGUUAAUGUAGCCAUAUCUUUUAGCUUCACCUACAUUGCUGGACUUCUUAUAACAGUGAGUUUAUUCUGCACUUCAUUGCAUUGCUCAAUGCGAUGACCAAAAAAAAGACACAACCUGGUUAUUGUGAAAUUUGCAAAGAAAUAUGCAAAGAUUUUUAUGUCACCAGGGUUAUUGAAUAACUAACAUGCAAAGAUUUGGAAACUUUAAUUCAACGGUCAUCAUUUUAACAUAUUGACUUAAUAUAUAUCUGACUGUCUUUAUUUCCUGGAUAGUAGAGUGCCAGGUUCUGUCAACAGGGUCUCUCUAAGGGGUUCAAUGAUCAGUAUUGAGUCUGUAUCAUAAUACCAAGAGCAUUGUUUACUAAGGGCAUCAUCAUCUCUGGAGGUGAUAAUGCCUAUUAAGAAAAACGAUCCUGACUGAGGGCCAGGCUUUGUUUACUUUAUAAAAAGAAACCACAGCCCAAAGCUUUUACAGUUCACAAGCCUGAGGAAAUCCUAAUUUUCUUAAGGUAGAAGUUUAAGUUAUUGAUUUGGGGUGUUUUCCCCCUUCUAAUAUAUAAGCAUUUUGAGAUAUAAAUUUCCCUCUGAGCACCAUUUUGAACAGCAUCCCAUCAGUUUUGGCUCCAAUUACACAGAUAGCAAUUUUGUAGACAGAUUGCAGUAAAGUUGAUCAUACCUAAGACCUUUUUAGUUCCACCCAGUAUGACUCUGGCCUUCACCAUGUGACUUGCUUAGCCCAUGGAAUGUUAGCAAUAUUUAUGCAAGCAGAGGCUUGAAGAAGUAUUUGUGGCCAUUCAAUUUUAAUAUUUAUGUCAGGGUAAGUGGUAGCAGACUACCCCUUAUGUUUUUAACAACCAUAAAAACAAACACAAAAUAUACGAAGAAAAACUUUCAGUAUUGGAAGACAGAUUGCACAAGACUGUGAUCCAUGAAAGAAGAGAAAUAAGAAAAAUUCCCUGGCUCUCUGUCUUGGGACAGUAUUCCAACUGAAGAAUGGAUUUCUGGAGAUUGAGGUGACUCUGACCAUCUUAAUGAGUGGGAAGGUAGAUAUCAGAAUUCAAGGCAACUGACGCAGCUGGUAUCUGUAGGACAGGACCUGAGGCAAAAGAGAGACUGAAUCAGGGUUAUCUCAAAGGUCUGUGGUGGCUUCCCCAUGAGUCCUUGACCGAAAGCUAGAUUUUACAUGGAAGGAGUAAUACAAUAACUGACUUACGAGAUAUGUGUUCUCCAGGGUUGAGAAAG